rnacentral:rRNA from 1 species
AGAGUGGGUAGUCCGCACGAGCGCACCUCGAUCCUUAGUUGCCAUCAGUUUGGCUGGGCACUCUAGGGAAACUGCCGGUGAUAAGCUGGAGGAAGGUGGGGAUGACGUCAAGUCCUCAUGGCCCUUACGGGCUGGGCUACACACGUGCUACAAUGGCGGUGACAGUGGGAUGCGAAAGGGCAACUUGGAGCUAAUCCCCAAAAACCGUCUCAGUUCGGAUUGUUCUCUGCAACUCGAGAGCAUGAAGUUGGAAUCGCUAGUAAUCGUGGAUCAGCAUGCCACGGUGAAUACGUUCCCGGGCCUUGUACACACCGCCCGUCACACCAUGGGGGUUGGUUUUACCCGAAGCCGGUGCGCUAACCGCAAGGAGGCAGCCGACCACGGUAAGGUCAGCGACUGGGGUGAAGUCGUAACAAGGUAGCCGUAGGGGAACCUGCGGCUGGAUCACCUCCUUUCU